rnacentral:rRNA from 1 species
UGCAUGCCGCGUGAGUGAAGAAGGCCUUCGGGUUGUAAAGCUCUUUUGUCAGGGAAGAAACACCGGCUCUAACACAGUCCGGGAAUGACGGUACCUGAAGAAUAAGCACCGGCUAACUACGUGCCAGCAGCCGCGGUAAUACGUAGGGUGCGAGCGUUAAUCGGAAUUACUGGGCGUAAAGCGUGCGCAGGCGGUUAUACAAGACAGGCGUGAAAUCCCCGGGCUUAACCUGGGAAUGGCGCCUGUGACUGUAUAGCUAGAGUGUGUCAGAGGGGGGUAGAAUUCCACGUGUAGCAGUGAAAUGCGUAGAUAUGUGGAGGAAUACCAAUGGCGAAGGCAGCCCCCUGGGAUAACACUGACGCUCAUGCACGAAAGCGUGGGGAGCAAACAGGAUUAGAUACCCUGGUAGUCCACGCCCUAAACGAUGCUGACUAGUUGUUCGGGAUUUACAUCCUGAGUAACGUAGCUAACGCGUGAAGUCAGCCGCCUGGGGAGUACGGUCGCAAGAUUAAAACUCAAAGGAAUUGACGGGGACCCGCACAAGCGGUGGAUGAUGUGGAUUAAUUCGAUGCAACGCGAAAAAACUUUACUACCUUGACAUGUCACUAACGAAGUAGAGAUC